ACUCUUCGGUGACUGGCAAUGCUUCCUGAAUGAAAGAAACAUCUACUUGACCUCCUCACAGUCUCCCUUUCUAUAGUGCAAGCUCGACUAGACAGUUUUGACAAUAGUGAUAUUAAGGCUCUGCUUGGUGCCAUGCAAUCUGCAUUUGGGGUGCCAGCUAGCCACAGGACUCAUCUGGAAAAAAACAACGGCCCAACCCUGAGAACUUUGGGAUUCACGGGAAAUUACAGUUCCCCUGAUGAUGCAGGACCGGACCAGGAUUUCACUCAUCAACUGGCCUAGAUUAAGGAGAAAGAAAUCUACAUUUCUGAACCUGGUAACGUCUGAGCAUACUCAUGGAAGAAAGAGCUGGCCUAUGAGCGUCCAUUAAGAACACAAUAAAAUAUCUUCAUGAAUGAUCCUCCAUUUGGAAACAAAUGCAUUUGGAUGAGGGACCAUCUCUCGAAGCUAAGGAUUAAAAUAUCGCUUCAGUACCACAAAGAAAUUAGGCUGUUCCUUUUGGAGUGUUUUAAUAGUUAGCUGAGUGCUCCUCAGGAAGAAGCCACAUACCCGGAGCGUAACCAGGAGACAGUCAUGGAACCGUAACGCAGACCAUGGACUGCAGCAGCUUGGUUUGGAGCUGGGUCAAACCUCACAGUAAGGCUCCAUCUCAGGCCUGGCUGCAAAGUCAACAUCUCUCUGCAUCCAUGUUUUCACAUUUACCUUUCUGGAGCGGCAAUAGGAAAAUGUUUCCCUAAAAGAAAAGACAGUGAUGCUUUCAUCGAAAGAAAAAGUAAAGAACUAUUGUGUGUGCCUAACCAAUCUUACAGGGGGGAAAAGAUUUAUAUUAUCUUGAAAACAUAAUUUGGUCUUGUUCAGGCCAUUGGGGGAG
rnacentral:lncRNA from 10 species